CCGUGGCCUGGAUGUCGGUGCGCGUGCGCAUGCGCGAGUGCCUAGCUGUCCGCGCGGCCACCCCCGCAACCCCGGGCUGAGGUGCGGGGUCCUAGGGCCAGGCGCGGGUGGCCGCCACGGCCCCUUAGGCUGCGUGGGGAGGGGGCGGCCCCCCCUGUUGUCAUUGCUCCUGCAGCCUCAGCAGCCUCUUCGCUGGGAGUGCGCGACACCGCCCCCAAAUUGGGUGCCCGCUGUGUGCCAGGCCCAGUGCUGGGCACGGUCCCGUCUCUUAGCCCAUUCGGGCCUCCGCAGCCCCGCGAGGGUGAACAAAUACUUACUGAGCAUCUGCUACAGGAAAGGAAGUCCCUCAAAAAAGCCAACAAUGGAGAGGCUCACAGCCCCUUUCAGACAUACAGAAAUCUGAAACGGAAACUGAGGCAAGAGCGGCCUACACCGGAACCCAGGCCCUGGCCCCCUUGUGUAAACACCUUCUACACCACCAAGCCUCUUCCUAAAGCCCAAGCACCCUAUAAGGACUGCCAGGCAAUAAUGAAGGUUCUUUUACUGAAGGAUGCUAAGGAAGACGACUGUGGCCAGGAUCCGUAUAUCAGGGAAUUAGGAUUAUAUGGACUUGAAGCCACUUUGAUCCCUGUUUUAUCAUUUGAAUUUUUGUCUCUUCCCAGUUUCUCUGAGAAGCUUUCUCAUCCUGAAGAUUACGGGGGACUCAUUUUUACCAGCCCCAGAGCAGUGGAAGCAGCACAGUUAUGUUUGGAGAAAAACAAUAAAACUGAAGUCUGGGAAAGGUCUCUGAAAGAAAAAUGGAAUGCCAAGUCAGUGUAUGUGGUUGGAAAUGCUACUGCUUCUCUAGUGAGUAAAAUUGGCCUGGAUACAGAAGGAGAAACCUGUGGAAAUGCAGAAAAGCUUGCAGAAUAUAUUUGUUCCAGGGAGUCCUCAGCACUGCCUCUUCUAUUUCCCUGUGGAAACCUCAAAAGAGAAAUCCUGCCGAAAGCGCUCAAGGACAAAGGGAUUGCCAUGGAAAGCGUAACUGUGUAUCAGACAAUUCCACACCCAGGAAUCCAAGGGAACCUGAACAGCUACUAUUCACAGCAGGGGGUUCCAGCCAGCAUCACAUUUUUCAGUCCCUCUGGCCUCACAUACAGUCUCAAGCAUAUUCAGGAGUUAUCUGGUGACAAUAUCGAUCAAAUUAAGAAAUACCCUUGAACUGGCGCCAGAGGGACUGAGGAGAGGGUGCACGAUGUGACCCAGAACCCAAAGGCAGAAACUGCCACUCACUGCAGUCAGGAAGAGCAAAAGGCUUCACCUGCCUUCUCACAGGUGCAUCUCAUGUGGGGAGUAUGCACUGCUUUCCCAGUUUUCAAGAUGGAGCGUGGGACUCAGAGACAUCAGAUGGCCUGCCUGUAGGUCAUGCUGCUGAGAAGGAAGAGCUGCAGUUUGAACCUGGGAAGACUGAUUCCACAUUGUCAGCCAUGGUGAUGCCUUGCCAUGGUCUCAGGAGCUGCUGAGCAGUUGAUGGACUUUUGGGCAGUAACUGAUAUAAUUCCCACACCAGUCCAGUGGUGGGUAUCCAGAAAAAGAGGUCAGUGGUCCUCAUUACAGGUGAGGAUACUGAGGCCCAGAGAGGUUAAACAACUUGCCAAAGUCGUGUGUUGAGUCACUGGAAGGCCCAGGACUCACACGGGCCACUGAGGAAGAAAAACAGUAUCUGAAUCUUGUGGUUAGAAAGAUUGGAGAGAGAGGCCAGGCGCAGUGGCUCCCACCUGGAAUCCCAGCACUUUGGGAGGCCGAGGCAGGUGGAUCACCUGAGGUCAGGAGUUCCAGACCAGCCUGACCAAUAUGAUGAAAACCCUAUCUCUACUAAAAAUACAGAAAUUAGCUGGGUGUGGUGGCAUGCGCCUAUAAUCCCAGCUAUUUGGGAGGCUGAGACAGGAGAAUUGCUUGAACCCCGGAGACUGAAGUUGCAGUGAGCCGAGAUCGCGCCACUGCACUCCAGCCCGGGCAACAAGAGUGAAGCUCCAUCUCCACCACCCCCCGCCCCCUGCCCAAAAAAAAAAAAAGGAAGAUUAAAGAGAUAAGACCCAUAAAGUGCUUGGCAUGGCAACUGGUCCACAGUGAGCGCUUACUUCAUAUUGCAGGUCAGGAGGGGUAAAACGGUGCUGGUCCUGCUCUGGUUCUUGUCCCUGUGUGUCAUGCUGCCUCUCUCCUGGACCUGUAGAAGGAGUACCGCCUGGCCCACCCACCCACCCCCGCGUCACACAAUGCUGUGAGAUGCCUGGUGGUAUAAGCCUAACACAGUUUUCCCCAGGCUUCUUAGUGUUUGCCUAGAGGAAGAAAAUUAGAUUUAUACUCUAUCUUCUUUCAAAGCAAGCAUGUUUAAAAGCACAAAUGGAUACUCAGCAUCUGAACCAAGAACUCAGGCCUUUCUGAAUAGACUGCUGCCCGCAUUGUCCACACCCAUGGCAGCUGGGGCCUGAGUGCGUGUGCCUAUCCUGCAUCUGUCACGCCCGUUUCUGCAGCCCUCCAGACACUCUGAGAGCUCUCAGUAGCCCCCUCGCCUCUUCCUACAGUGAUUGAUUACCCUGCCUGCCAGUAGUUAACUGCCAUUAAAUCUGCCAUUGCUGGGGAGGAGAAGGUGACAGAGCUGGCCUUGCUCACAGUGACUCUGGACUGCUUGGGGGCCAUGAAGGCACCAUGUGUGGGGUGUGAGUCGUCCCUCAUCACUGGGACUUGGUGCUGUAUAGUGAGGUGCUUUCAAGGUUCACAGAGGACACAGUCCUAGCCCGUGAGUUGGUAGUUAGGCUUUUCUGUCUCAGCUCGGCCUCAGAUUUGCUAGUGGCCUCCCUCCUCAGGAGUCCCUGUAGGACCCACUGUUUGUACAGCACUGCACAACAUGCAGGUGCACCACAGAAGAUCAAAGCGGGUGAGGGGGCGACUUCUGACCUGAGCUUGCUACUUACCAUUGACUUGGAAAGACUGUGCACUUGUCUGUAAAUGCCACAGAGAUGUCACUCCAAACCAGUAGUUUGCAGCCAUCGGCCCCACUACAGCUCACGCGCUGGCCGCCCAGGGCCUGCCUGUAAGCUGCACUGCAGAGAGCCCCACGCCACAAGCCCUGGCCACUGGCAUCAGGAAGGCACUCCAGCCCCAUGGCUG